CGCUUAUUGUAUAUUUAUAUUAAGUUUUACCUGCUCAAUGAUAUUAAACAUUAAAUAGCCGCAGUAUUUUGACUGUGCAAAGGUAGCAUAAUCAUUUGUCUUUUAAUUGUGGACUUGUAUGAAUGGUUUGAUGAAAUAUUUACUUUCUUUAUCUAAAAUCAUUUAAUUUAAUCUUUUAGUUAAAAAGCUAAAAUGACUUUAUAGGACGAGAAGACCCUAUAGAAUUUUAUAAAUCUUUAUAUAAUUUAUUUAUAGUUAUUUUUAAUAAAAUAUAUUUAUAUUUAUUUUGUUGGGGUGACAGGGAAAUUUAAUUAACUUUCUUUAUUAAAAUGUUAUUGAUUUAUAUAUUUAUAAUCCUAUUUUAAGGAUAUUAAGAUUAAAUUACCUUAGGGAUAACAGCGUAAUUUUUUUGGAGAGUUCUUAUCAAUAAUAAAGUUUGCGACCUCGAUGUUGGAUUAAAAUUAGUAUUAGGUGUAGUUGCUUAAUUUACUAGGUCUGUUCGACCUUUAAUAUUUUACA
rnacentral:rRNA from 1 species